rnacentral:rRNA from 1 species
CAAUGGGGGAACCCUGAUGCAGCGACGCCGCGUGGAGGAAGAAGGUCUUCNGAUUGUAAACUCCUGUUGUUGGGGAAGAUAAUGACGGUACCCAACAAGGAAGUGACGGCUAACUACGUGCCAGCAGCCGCGGUAAAACGUAGGUCACAAGCGUUGUCCGGAAUUACUGGGUGUAAAGGGAGCGCAGGCGGGAAGACAAGUUGGAAGUGAAAUCUAUGGGCUCAACCCAUAAACUGCUUUCAAAACUGUUUUUCUUGAGUAGUGCAGAGGUAGGCGGAAUUCCCGGUGUAGCGGUGGAAUGCGUAGAUAUCGGGAGGAACACCAGUGGCGAAGGCGGCCUACUGGGCACCAACUGACGCUGAGGCUCGAAAGUGUGGGUAGCAAACAGGAUUAGAUACCCUGGUAGUCCAAGGGCGAAUUC